rnacentral:rRNA from 1 species
AUUGAACGCUGGCGGCGUGCCUAACACAUGCAAGUCGAGCGGUAACAGGUGUAGCAAUACAUGCUGACGAGCGGCGGACGGGUGAGUAACGCUUGGGAAUCUGCCUAUUAGUGGGGGACAACCCGGGGAAACUCGGGCUAAUACCGCAUACGCUCUACGGAGGAAAGCCGGGGACCGCAAGGCCUGGCGCUAAUAGAUGAGCCCAAGUCGGAUUAGCUAGUUGGUAGGGUAAGGCCUACCAAGGCGACGAUCCGUAACCGGUCUGAGAGGACGACCAGUCACACCGGAACUGAGACACGGUCCGGACUCCUACGGGAGGCAGCAGUGGGGAAUAUUGGACAAUGGGCGAAAGCCUGAUCCAGCGACGCCGCGUGGGUGAAGAAGGCCUGCGGGUUGUAAAGCCCUUUCAGUGGGGAAGAAAAGCCUCGACCUAACACGUCGGGGUCUUGACGUAACCCAUAGAAGAAGCACCGGCUAACUCUGUGCCAGCA